rnacentral:lncRNA from 1 species
ACCUAUUGGUAUCGAGGAUACAGACUAAGGGGUUGGAACUCGACAUGGUUAUCUGUAGAGAGAAUAAUUUUUAGUUAGAUAUUUCUACUUAUAAAAAUAUUUAUUCUAAAAACUUUAAAAAUAAACAAAGGCUCCCAUUAUUUCUUCGAAUCACCCACACUCUUUGGGUAGAGAAACGAAAACCUAUACGUGAUCGAUUUCAAGUAGAUACUGCAGUCCCAUUAACCUAUACACACCUCACCUAACAGUUAUUGGUGAGCAUAGGCUAAUGAGUGGAUAAUACUUUAUCUAUUACUUCACUAAGCAAGAUGUAGUGAGUUUGGUC